CCAAAUCCUAAUAGGAUUAUAACAGGUUCGUUCUUCUUCUUUUAAUUCCCUCUAUAACAACAUUACUUGGACAAUUUUAUAAUAUUCGGCUAAAGCAUAGAAUCCCCAGCCCCGUUCAUGGCCGGAAGAAUUUUACAUUCCGGCUGUGGUAGCAGUAGCGACAGCGGCAAUGAGAGAGACUUCAUGAAACUAUACAGAAGAGACUCUUCUUUUAUUGAACCAUUGAUUACUGGUCUUGAUUCUUUAAAGCAUGAUAUGGGAGAUGUACUUUUUGGCUCUGAUGAUGCCAGAGACAUGAAAGAAAUACAGUACAAGGAAGAUGUCCUAGAGAGUUAUGCAAGAGAAAGAGAAAUCAAGAAUUUAAGGAGGAAAAAGAAGGGUUGUUCUUCCAUCAGAAAAUGUGUCGAGUUCUUCAAGGUUAUUUUCUGUUUUAAAUUAUAGUUUUAGAUUGAAUUUUCUUUUCUUUUUUCCCUUUACUAACAAUGACUGAGUUAGUGAGUUAGGCUUUGUCUAUGAUCGUUACUGGUGUAAUUCUAUUCAGGUUUGGUGAUUCUUACACAUCUGUUUCACAAGGCUUUUUGGGUUUUUUUGAACUAGUUUUACAAGAUUAGGAAGGAAUCAUAUUUACCUUUAAAACUAGGAGCAGUAUGCAUGUUUGUUUUUGAUACCCAGUUACUGCAUCUGCUAGAUACAGUGUUAAGCAGACUGAUUAAAGCACCAUACCUUUUGGGAACUUGUGCCAUUAAAUUUUGAAGGUAGUGAUUGAUAUUCUGUAUCCAAAGUGGCCAGGGAUCUCCAUAGCUGGUCUGUAAAGGCAACGAAAGCACUUUCAAUUGCUUGCCUAAAGCGAUUAUUGGUAACAAAUACAGGUUCCUGCAACAUUAUAAACUCUGGCUUUGGACAAAGAACAGGUCACAUCAGCCACAUUAAAUUUCUGUAAUUGCUUAAGGCUAAAGCCUGGUGAUCUCUUUGCAGCCCACAAUAACUUAGCACUAUUGCUCAAUCUUCUGCUUGUUUUGUUGUAUUGCCUGAAAAAAUAGUCUACAAGCUUGAGCACAAAUCAUUGCCUCCUAAAUUCUUCCUGCCGAGAAAGAUGUUUAUCACUCACACUCACGCAGAUAUUGAAUUGUAAUUAUAGUUUCUUCCUGGGAAGAAUUGCAACAUAAAGUUUUUAGUUGAU
rnacentral:misc_RNA from 1 species